AGAGUACAAAAAGAGGUACUCCAAAGAAGGAAAAUAGAAAGCAUUGGUGAUUUUAGGAAUGUAGAUCAAUGUAUUACAACAAAAACACAUUUUCAGUACAUUCUUGGUUUUCCAACGAAUUUCUCUCUCUCUCUCUCUCUCUCUCUCUCUCUCUCUCUCUCUCUCUCUCUCUCUCUCUCUCUCUCUUUUUUAAUGACAGGGAAGAACUUUGACCCAAAUAUCCAUUUUGACACUAAUUGGAGCCUACAGAAGAAGGAGACCACUUGUUAUCGAUGUCAUAUCAUUAACCUGGAUUUUGAACACUGUUGAGAGAAGAAUUUUCUAUUAAAAAAUUUAGUAAAUGUGGGGCAUACUUUUUUUCCCAGCUUAAAUUUUUCAGAAUGUAUUUGAGAUGUGAUGAUUUUUAUUUCUACAAAGACCAAGAACUGUGUUUCCAGAACUUCAGAGCUGCACUCAUUCUGAAAAGUAUUAUGGAAAAAAAAAAAAAAGUCAGACCUGAGACAUAAGGCUGCAAUUUCUGUCUGCUUCUGUAUCUUUGAGGGUGUCUCCUAAGAACUGUGCCUCAGGUUUCCCAGUAGGAAAAUAAGGUGAGCCUAUUACAAGGAGUCAAGCUUAGUAAGUCAAUAUUUUGUAUCAUGUUUGUUAUUUUCAAGUUGAAGGGGAAAGACAUUUAUUUAAAUAGAAUGGUUCUUUUUGUUUUUGUACAAACUGCCGAAGAAAAGAACAAUCUUUUGCUGCAAAAUAGAAUUAGGCGUAUAUUUGAUGCUUCUAUCAGGAUUUUGAAUUUCCUGGGCAUAUUUAACAGUAUUAUUUAAUUUCAUCAAUAUCCUAUUUUUAAAGCUUUCCAGAAUAGUACUUAUGUAUAACGUUUAGACAGUUGCUAUUAGUAGAAAGAAGAAUUUAAUCACAUGGGCAGGGAGGGAGUGGGUAUGGGAUCAAGGCCACAGCAUAGGUAGCAAGUUUUGCUGAUGGAUUGAUGGACUCAGUUAGUACCAAUAGGUUCCCUGACUGCUUCUGAAAUCAAAAAAUGUCUCGGAUAAAUCCUGGUUCUUCUGUAGUUGCUGGCAUAUUAAUUUGGAAAACAGCACUUCACUACCUCAUGUUAGAUUAGCUCAUUGGUGAUGCUUCUCUUUUGUAUAAUAUCUCCUGUAUAUAUCCCUAUUUACACAAAACAGGAUGAGACUUUCAUUGCAAUUAAAACAUUCUUAAAAUUGUAUAAGUUGGAAAAGUCCACACUGUACAUAAAUUUUGACUGAAAAUAGAAGUUUUCCUCUUCUUUGCCAGUUUUUUUUUUCCUGAAUGGGUAGCUUUGGGAAGGGGCAAGAAGAAGGCUAAAUAAUUAAUACAAAAUUGCAUAGGCAGUAGGUUAUUAUUAAUGCAUAUAUAUUAUGUUGGACACCUUUAUGUUUGCCAAAAAUAAUCUUGAACCUUUUGAUUAAUUUCCUGACUGGAUAUAAUUAACCAGAAGUAGAAUAACUAUAAGAUAAAAUACUUGGUUCACUUAUUUUUCUCAAUUUGAUUACUGCCAAUUUUACUUGUUAUGAGGUCAGCAUAAACUAAAUAUUAGGGCCAGCUACAUGCAUUGUUAACCUAGGGAAAACCAUUAAGAUAUCCAGGUAUUUUGCAAAGUACAUAUGGGUAACAUUGCCCUCCCCUCUCCUCCCUGUGUGUAUGUGUGUGUGUGUGUGUAGCUCCCUAAUCUCCAUUUAAUAUUUCUUUUUGUUCCCUAAUCACAAAAUGGAUCCUCAAGUAGUUUAACAUAGAUACAAGCCAUUGAUGGGACAUUUUCUUCUAGAUGAAUUUGAAAAAAUAAUUGAUAAUGAUUUAAAAAAUAUUAUAAGUAUUAUAAAGAUAGUUGUCACUACUAAAUGCUUGAUUUUAUUUGUGAAACUUCCAAAAUUUUCUGCUUAAGAUUUUAAAGUUUUUUCCCCAAAACUUAUUUGUGUUGGAUGAAAUUAGAUGAAAAUUUUUUUUUUUUUAGUCACAAAUUAACCCUAGAAGGCAACUCUUUGAAUGAAUGCUUGCCACCCAUUUGAAUUCUAGGUGGACAUAAAGGUUGUCCAGACUAGGUCACCAUGUGAAGCACUUAGGAGAAGUACAGACUGAGCCAAAGUAGGAUUAUUGUUUUCCACAAGCCAAGCAGUGAAGAGGGGAUUUGGGAAUUCUGACACACAUCACUAUCUCUGAUUUCCUUUUACAUGACUUUGUCAUGAAGAAGCAAAUUACUUAGCCCUACAUUAAUAUCUGUUCCAUACCAGUGAAAUGGAAGAGUGAAGGAAUUAGGAAAAAAAAUACAGAAGGCCUUAGUUUAGGAAAAAAGAGUUUCAUCUUACCUUUUCUGUAGCUGAACUACAUUGAAAAAGACUGCAGAAUGCAGUUUCCCCAGCAACAAUCCUCUGCUCUGUGAGUACAAGAGCUUUUCCCAAGGCAAUUUAAGUAGUUAUUUAAAAAUCUUAGGCCAAACUCUCAUUUAGGCUGUAUGAAUGAGGUUUGAAAUAUUUUGACGAUUGUCAUUAACCUACCAAUAUAAUAUUUAGUAAGACUGUCACCUUAUUUGAAGACAAUAAAAUGCAGUAAAGUACUAAAAAUGUAUGGUAAAUAACUCAAACUUAAUUUUUUCCAGAUUUAUGAGGUAUUUAGUUUUAUAGAUGCAGCCUUUAUCAUUGAGUUACAUGAUGCUUUUUUCAUGGGUUCUGGGUAAAUGGAGAUUUAUUUGGUAAACAGGGCUCCGUUUUCACCAUUGCAAUGACUGAAGGGUAUUUGUUCACAUUCAUGUGGCCUAACAUCAUAUUUACUUCACAUAAUAAGACAAGUGUGGGUUUUACCUGAUUUUAUUUCCACCUCUGUUUUUAAUUCUUCAGUAUUUAGUCACUCUGGAUUGGCUUCCCACGUCCUGUUUUUUGUUUUGUUUUGUGGCUGCGUAGUGAAUCGUAAUGUAGGUGAACAGCGCUGACUUAAUAUUACCUCUGACAAAACAAUGGAAACUACACAAGUAUUUUUUGUAGACUCUAAAACAUAAAAAUAUGUUCACUUAUAUGAUACCUGAGCUAGUUAUUCAUUUGUGCGCUCAUUUUCUAAGUUUGCCUUCCAUUUCAUCCAACACAAAUAAGUUGGCAGCUGUACUUUUGUGUCAUUUUCAUGUUUUCAACCAUGGGCACCUUGACGUCUCUCAGUCCUAGAGUGGAUUUCCAUUUUGCAAUGGGAAGGGAAGACAACAUAUUUAUUUCAUAAGGAAACAGCUGAUUUAGGAGAAUAACUUAUCUUUAUUAAAUUGAGAUGUUUUAGCCAAGAAUAAUAUGGGUCAGGUUUUUUUCCCCCUCUAAUAUGUUUCUAACAAUUCCCAGUAGAAAUGGGUGGGGCCAAUCUUCUUCAUUUAUAAUCCAGCUGCAGUGAGAGUCAGGAUCCUUGCUCAUUCUGUUCCCAAAUGUGUGAUAAACGCAGAAAAUCGAUGUGAAGGUCACAGUCUUCAAGUCUGUUGCAUUGUGUUCCAUAAAGCAUCCUGGCUGGAGGUGGGAAGGUGGGAGAGUACCAUAAUGUAAUUGAUGAUUUAAAGAAUUUGCCUGGAAAUUUUUUUUGACCCAUGAGUUUUAAAACCUUAUACUACUGCUCUUAUGAGUUUAAUAAGACAAAGUUAAACCACUCACUCAGAAUAGAUUAAACCUUUUCCCUCAACUACACAGCUUUUACUACAGCUGAGAUUAAAUGAUUCCUCAUCCUAUUUUUUCCCCUUUCUUACAAUUCUUCUUUAGUGAUUAAGGGCAUAUAUAGGAAAAAAUAAUAAUGGUAUCAGAGGAUAUAGGUAUACUUAUCUAUAAAGACUGUGAUUCUUGUGCAAUAGUGUACAACCCUAGUUUAUGUUCAAUGUGGAGUAUGGGUAAUGAAGGAUUUUUCUUUUUCAUCUUACUUAUAAUGAUAUUUUAUCCUAAAUGGGAUCAAAUAAAUUCAUGUAACUGUAUAAUUUUCUUAAAAAUGUCUAGUCUUAAUAUUAGCUAAUUAGAAACAAACAUUUUCUUUACAUUUAUAAAAGUGUCUUUUCUUGUGUAUAUCAGUGUGCUAUUUUCAUU
rnacentral:lncRNA from 1 species